AGAGGAUAAAAAGAUUAUUUUAUAAUACAUAAAAAUACAUAAAAAAUGGAUCGGCGCUUGCGGAUUGCAUGAAAAAGAUGUAUUCCAUAUUUAUAUUUGCUCACAUCACUUUAAAUUACCUGAUAAUUUAGUUGCAUUGAAGAGAUUAUCUCCUGGAGCUAUACCCACUGUAGAAAUAGCUGCACCAAAUCAUUCAGUUAAAUUAUCAAAUGUGUCAACAAUAUAAAGUACUACAGUACGUUAAAAUCAUCUGAAGUGAACAUCUUCAAUUCUGAUACAAUGGAUUGUGCUAAUGCUGUUCAUUCAAUAUCAAAAGCUUUAACUUAUUAUUCAUCAUUUAACUUACUAUUCAAUAUCUUCUAAAGAGAACAUUUUUCCUCCUCGAAAGAAACGUUUGUUUGCAGAGCCAAGAUAUAUUUCAGCAAUUAAUACUAGUGAUGUUAGUAUACUGAGGGAGCGAGAAGAUUAAUCAAUUUUAUUAAACAAAUAGAUCAAAAGAAAAGCAAACAAAUCAAAUCUUUACAAGAUGAAAACAGGAGAUUUCGAAAGCGAAUUGUUACAUUGCAAGAAUUAGUAUCUCAUAUUUAAAAGAAUCAAUAUUAAUUUCUGAAGAUGCUGAA